UUUAGAAAUUAAUACAAAAAGAUGUAAAUUUUGGAAUUAUUUUUAGGUCGACAAAAAUAUAGAAAGUCAUACAGAUAGAAGGAACAACACUAACCAAUCGAGGGGCAGUUUAAUUUUACUUGAAAUUCGUUCAUUUCAGUGUGCUGAACACAAAUCCGGAUGUUGGCCGUGGCGCCGUGCUCAAUUUUCUCGAGAUCUUCAGCACAGUGGUAAACGAGAAGACUGUUAACGUUCAAUUAAUAACCAUCUCUAAACGGCAGCACAGUGGAAGGUAAGAAGACGUUUUAAAUAAUAACCAUCUUUAAACAGCAGCACGGUGUUAAACGAGAAGACUGUUCAAUUACUAACUAUCUUUAAACGGCAGCACAGUGGAAGGUAAGAAGACGUUUUAAUUAAUAACCAUCUUUAAACAGCAGCACGGUGGUAAACGAGAAGACUGUUCAAUUACUAACUAUCUUUAAACGGCAGCAC